rnacentral:rRNA from 1 species
GAUGAACGCUAGCGGCAGGCCUAACACAUGCAAGUCGAGCGGUAGAAGGAGCUUGCUCCUUUGAGACCGGCGCACGGGUGCGUAACGCGUAUGCAAUCUACCUUGUACAGGGGUAUAGCCCAGAGAAAUUUGGAUUAAUGCCCCAUAGAAUAUAACCUUCGCAUGUUGGUUAUCUUAAAAUUUCAACGGUACAAGAUGAGCAUGCGUCCCAUUAGUUAGUUGGUAAGGUAACGGCUUACCAAGAAGAUGAUGGGUAGGGGUCCUGAGAGGGAGAUCCCCCACACGGGUACCGAGCCACGGACCAGUCAGCUACGGCAGGGAGCAGUAAGGAAUAUAGGUGAAGGGACGCAAGACUAAACCAGCCAUGCCGGGUGCAGGAAGACGGUGCUAGGGAUUGUAAACUGCUGUUAGACAAGAGCAAACCCUCCCAACUGUGCGGGCUUGACGGUACUGUAGGAAUAAGCAUCGGCUAACUCCGUG